CUCCCAACAUGCAUAGAGAAGCUGAGGUCAGGGUUUUGCAUCAGUUUUGCAAAUUCAAACCUUACGUGACUUUCUGAUGGAGAGCCUGGCCAUUUAGUCCCCUCAGCCUCUCACUUUGUCGUUGAAAGUGAUCUAUUCAUGGUGGCGGGGAGAAUGAUAGGCCACUCUAUCCUUCACGGAGGACCAUGCCUGCAGGGACUCAGCCCUGCCGUUGUACAUGUCCUGCUGGGUGGAAGUCUGGAAACUGCGACUGUCACACUGGAGGACUGUCCAGACCUGGACAUCAGAGACACCAUCAGACUUGUAUGUUUGAAAAGGGUUUGUUCUUUCAGUAACAUGGGCGCACUGUGUCCUUGCUGAGUGUUUUUACGGCUUAUUGUUUUGAAGCUUGAAGGGGCAUCCAUACUGUCAGAAAAGGUCAAAGUGUCCAGGACCUGGCUUAUGCUUGGGUCCUCCCUUCCUUCACUGAAAACAACAGGAGGUGGCUUUUUGAGAAGCUAUUGAUCCACGCUGUGAGUGAAAGACUGAGAAAUAUCUGUCCAAACAUAAGACCCAAUUCAUGUUUGAGGAGUUAUGUUUGGGUGACAAAUGCACAUUGCUAAGUUUUUAAAAUAAUGUGACAAAAUUAAAAUGCUUCACUUUCUCCCAAUUUGUGCCCACAUUAACAACAAAAGUUUCCAGUAAAUUGCAUCACUUUCCACAUGAUAAUUUAUUUUUCUAGAAACAUAAAAUAUAGUGGGAAGUUUGCAGGACAAGUCUGAUUUAGAUUUUUUUUUUUUUUUUUUACUCACUCACCAGGGGAAUGCAGCAUAAUAAAUAUAUUUAAAUUGAAUUAUUCUUUACCUGUUUCACUUUUCAAACUUGCUUUUAGAUAAAAUGUUAUGGGUUCUCUUCUCUGCCUUUUUACAAUUUACAGGUAAUAGGGUGCGUCAUGAGGCAAAUCAAACAACUGAGAUGGGGUCUUACGGAAACCCCAAUGUGGACUCUACUGACCCAAAGACCUUACACAGUGGCCUUGCUCUUUCCUCAAGACACAGCAGGAACUAUCAGCGCUGAGGUGCUUCUUCAGCGUAUAACAUGGCCUCGUGAGGAAGACAGCGAUGAUGACCACUGUUCCGUGGAAACCAGAUGCCGCAUCCCUUACCAAAAAAAUUGUACUGAUAAGUAUAUAAAAAGUAAACUAGAAGUAUACUUGAAACAUACUUGCAUAUACUACUUUUUGGUAAGGGAUGUCAAGCUAUCUACAUCAAUUCAUAGCUAAUGGUAGGUUUAUUUGGUUUAACUGAUCUUCUAAUCAGUUGAUAAUGCCAUUGUUGGCUAUUUAGCCUGAUGACUAACUUUUAUCCAUUUGAAUCUACUCCAUAGCAACACCUGCUGAACUGACCAGCCUCGUCAAAUUCUGGACUGGAUGGGAGAUUCUCCCUCAGAGUCUCUCAGUGGAAGUCAUCAAUGGCUGCUAUCCCACAGCUUCCACCUGCUUUGAGACCAUUUAAAUCCCAGGGCAUUACACGUCCUUUAAAAAUGACAUCCUGUCCUGUAUUGGCACUUGCCACACAGGAUUUGGUCUUGUGUGACAUCUGGGUCUGUGUUUACACUCAGUAGUUCAGUAAAAUGUUGACAUGUUAAACUAUUCAAGUUAUCAAAAGAUGGGUUUACACUUGUUUUAUUUUCAGUGUUAGACAGUUGAAGGUUCUUAAUGUACAGGCUGGUUUUGCAGUUUA